ensembl:miRNA
UAUUUGGUUGGUGCAAUAGUAUUUGCAGUUUUUGCCAACUGCUUUUAAUGGUAAAACUGCAAUUACUUUUACACCAACCUAAUAU